rnacentral:rRNA from 1 species
GACGUAGGGCGCGAGCGUUGUCCGGAUUUAUUGGGCGUAAAGAGCUCGUAGGCGGUUUGUCGCGUCGGCUGUGAAAACCUGGGGCUCAACCCCGGGCCCUGCAGCCGAUACGGGCAAGCUAGAGUUCGGUAGGGGAGACUGGAAUUCCUGGUGUAGCGGUGAAAUGCGCAGAUAUCAGGAGGAACACCGGUGGCGAAGGCGGGUCUCUGGGCCGAUACUGACGCUGAGGAGCGAAAGCGUGGGGAGCAAACAGG